rnacentral:rRNA from 1 species
UACAGAGGGUGCAAGCGUUAAUCGGAAUCACUGGGCGUAAAGGGCUCGUAGGUGGAUAGUUAAGUUGGAUGUGAAAGCCCCGGGCUCAACCUGGGACGGUCAUUCAAAACUGAUUGUCUAGAGUAUGGUAGAGGGAAGUGGAAUUUCCGGUGUAGCGGUGAAAUGCGUAGAUAUCGGAAGGAACACCAGUGGCGAAGGCGGCUUCCUGGACCAAUACUGACACUGAGGGGCGAAAGCGUGGGUAGCAAACAGG